UCUGAGAACUGAAACUACUCAAAUGCAAAAAGAUAAAGCUAGAAGCUAACCUCAUAAAGAUCGAUUUCUUCAUCAGGAGCGUACCCUGCCAUUUUGUUCAAUUUGGACAAAAUUUCUAUUGGCUUGCCUGCACUUUUCACGAACAUCCUUCCAACAUAGCUAAUAGAACAGAAAGAUAACUCAUAUAAGAUUUUA